rnacentral:rRNA from 1 species
UACGUAGGGGGCAAGCGUUAUCCGGAUUCACUGGGUGUAAAGGGAGCGUAGACGGCCAUGCAAGCCUGGAGUGAAAGCCCGGGGCCCAACCCCGGGACUGCUCUGGGAACUGUGCGGCUGGAGUGCGGGAGGGGCAGGCGGAAUUCCUGGUGUAGCGGUGAAAUGCGUAGAUAUCAGGAGGAACACCGGUGGCGAAGGCGGCUUACUGGACAGAAACUGACACUGAGGCUCGAAAGCGUGGGGAGCAAACAGG